AAAACUUCCGAUCCUUGGCUUCAUGAACUCCCCUCAACCUGCUGAUCAUCAUACUAGGAGGAUUGCACCUAGAGUGACCGGUUUCACGUUCGUCGGAGCUCGUGGGUUCCCCUUGAUGUUAUUAACAACUCUCUAGAAGGCAUCGAGGCCUGAAAUUGAAGCUUUGACGUCGAAAUCGAGCCUUGCCGGAUUCUGCAAAAUUCUGGAAUUUUUCCGACCACCGAAGCUUUCGAUCGGUAUAUCUCGAGCUACAGACCAUAUUUUUCUGUGAUUCUUGAACCAGUGAGUUCUUCUUGAGUUUCUUAACAACUCUUCAGAAGGAAUCGAAGCCUUAAAUUGACGUUUUUACGUCGAAUUGGAGCUCGCCGUUUUCUGCAGUUUCUCGCCGGUUUCUGGAAAAUUCCGGCCACCUUCAUACUGUUCAAGGUGAUUGACGGUUUAAGUUGGUGGACGAUUGUGGAUCGUAUUCUGAGCUGUUGAGAAGACGCAGCGGGAUUAGAGCGGGUAAUCCUACAGGACAGGAGAACCAGGACGGUGAUCGUGCGGUUAGAGCAAUUGUUAGAGUUUUACAGCAAUUGUACGUUGUGAG